rnacentral:piRNA from 1 species
UACUCUCUUCCUGUGUCCUCCCUGC